GACCCCUAUUGUUAGUUGCCAUCAUUCAGUUGGGCACUCUAGCGAGACUGCCGGUAAUAAACCGGAGGAAGGUGGGGAUGACGUCAAAUCAUCAUGCCCCUUAUGACCUGGGCUACACACGUGCUACAAUGGUUGGUACAACGAGUUGCGAGUCGGUGACGGCGAGCUAAUCUCUUAAAGCCAAUCUCAGUUCGGAUUGUAGGCUGCAACUCGCCUACAUGAAGUCGGAAUCGCUAGUAAUCGCGGAUCAGCACGCCGCGGUGAAUACGUUCCCGGGCCUU
rnacentral:rRNA from 1 species